rnacentral:lncRNA from 1 species
GGUUGCUGCCUUUCCUUCAGGUGCAGGAAGACCCCAGUGUACUGGAACAAUAAAUUCCUCUUGCUUUUGCAUCGAUCCCUAGCUCCAAGUUGUUCACUGUGGCAGGGGUAGGGGUCCCAGCCCACCUAGGUGAUAUCCAACAACUCACGAGAGUACUCUUCAUGACCGAAGAGAGAGAAGAUAAUGCAGGAAGCUAGAAAGACAUGGGGGCACCAUCGAUUGACCAGGUUGUUGUCGACAGCGGGCUUUCUCUGACUAGACCUGAGUAGGACUUGUCUUAGUCAGGGUUUCUACUCCUGCACAAACAUCAUGACCAUGUUUUGGGGAAGCAAGCCAUUAAAGAACAUCCCUCCAUGGCCGCCUCUGCAUCAGCUCCUGUUUUCUGACCUGCUUGAGUUCCAGUCCUGACUUCCUUCAGUGAUGAACAGCAGUAUGGAAGUGUAAGCCGAAUAAACCCUUUCCUCCCCAACUU